GGGUCAGUAGGUUGGUCGUGCCACCGGUACGUACUGGUCUCACUGAUUCCUCCUUCCUGAAGAGCCGUAAUGCCAUUAAUUUGGUGUUGCGGGGAAACAGGACUGUUACUUUGAAAAAAUUAGAGUGUUUAAAGCAAGCUAACGCUUGAAUACAUUAGCGUGGAAUAAUGAAAUAGGACGAUCGAUCCUAUUUUGUUGGUUUCUAGGAUUGACGUA
rnacentral:rRNA from 1 species